rnacentral:rRNA from 1 species
GUCUCCGUAGGUGAACCUGCGGAGGGAUCAUUACACAAAUAUGAAGGCGGGCUGGAACCUCUCGGGGUUACAGCCUUGCUGAAUUAUUCACCCUUGUCUUUUGCGUACUUCUUGUUUCCUUGGUGGGUUCGCCCACCACUAGGACAAACAUAAACCUUUUGUAAUUGCAAUCAGCGUCAGUAACAAAUUAAUAAUUACAACUCUCAACAACGGAUCUCUCGGUUCUGGCAUCGAUGAAGAACGCAGCGAAAUGCGAUAAGUAGUGUGAAUUGCAGAAUUCAGUGAAUCAUCGAAUCUUUGAACGCACAUUGCGCCCUUUGGUAUUCCAAAGGGCAUGCCUGUUCGAGCGUCAUUUGUACCCUCAAGCUUUGCUUGGUGUUGGGCGUCUUGUCUCUAGCUUUGCUGGAGACUCGCCUUAAAGUAAUUGGCAGCCGGCCUACUGGUUUCGGAGCGCAGCACAAGUCGCACUCUCUAUCAGCAAAGGUCUAGCAUCCAUUAAGCCUUUUUUUCAACUUUUGACCUCGGAUCAGGUAGGGAUACCCGCUGAACU